GCGCUCGCUUCAGCAGCACAUCUACUAAAGCUGGAGCAAUACAGAGAGUAGCAAGGUCCCUGGGCAAGGAUGACAUGCAAAUUCGUGAAGUGUUCCAGAUUUUU